rnacentral:rRNA from 1 species
GUGCCAGCCGCCGCGGUAAUACGAAGGGGGCUAGCGUUGUUCGGAUUUACUGGGCGUAAAGCGCACGUAGGCGGUUUGUUAAGUCAGAGGUGAAAUCCCGGAGCUCAACUCCGGAACUGCCUUUGAUACUGGCAAGCUAGAGUCCGGAAGAGGUAAGUGGAACUCCUAGUGUAGAGGUGGAAUUCGUAGAUAUUAGGAAGAACACCAGUGGCGAAGGCGGCUUACUGGUCCGGAACUGACGCUGAGGUGCGAAAGCGUGGGGAGCAAACAGGAUUAGAAACCCUGGUAGUCC